UUUAAAGUCUAAUCUGCCCUAUGAAGUAUUAAAUGGCUGCGGUAUUCUGACCGUGCAAAGGUAGCAUAAUAAUUAGUUUUUUAAUUGAAAGCUGGAAUGAAUGAUUGGACGAGAAAAUAGCUGUCUCAGUUUAAUUUUAGUAGAAUUUUAUUUUUAAGUAAAAAAGCUUAAAUUAAAUUAAAAGACGAGAAGACCCUAUAGAGUUUGAUAUUUAUUUAGUUAUUAAUUUUUUAGUUUAAUUUUAUUAAUAUUUAAUUAGUUAUUUUAUUGGGGCGAUAGAAAAAUUUAAUUAACUUUUUUUUUUAUUAAAACAUUAAUUUAUGGGGAUUUGAUCCAUUUUUUAUGAUUAUAAGAUUAAGUUACCUUAGGGAUAACAGCGUAAUUUUCUUAUAGAGUUCUUAUCGAAAAGGAAGAUUGCGACCUCGAUGUUGGAUUAAAAUUAAUGUAGGGUGUAGAAGCUUUAUGAUUGGGUCUGUUCGACCUUUAAAAUUUUACA
rnacentral:rRNA from 1 species